GCAUGGUAAAGUGACAUCAAAUAGCUGCACGUGUGCAGCUGGAUCUGCUCCAGUGGCACAGUUGCCGCAUCGGGGACUUAAGGGGCUUUUCGCUUUGCAGCGCUCAAGCGCCAGGCUUCAGUUGCGCCAAAUCAAAUUGUAACAAUUGCCAUUGAAUGCUGCUCGCCCUGCUAGAGCCGCAGCUGACCUGGCUCCCGUUUCACAAUCAUUUUUGGCUGUGCUCUGCUCCGUAACACAAUUUGCCAGACCAAAACAGCUCGAAAGACAUCGAGACUGGCAGCAGCAGCA